ACUUAGUAGUUGGAAAUCCCAGACCCACAUAGGUGAGCUCUUUGACACUGUCAUACAUUUGAUCAAUGUCGAGAUCUGGAGAAGGAUUAUCAUCUCAAAGUUCAACAAACGGCUGUUGCAACUCUGGAAAAAGUGGCCCAGGGAAAUCUGGACAAGGAUGAGCCAGAUGAGGACACAAAAGCAGUGAUGAGUGCAUUGGCCACCAGCCACGAUAACCACCUGCUGAAGAUCCGUGACUGGGAGAAUCAGCUGCUUACACGUGCCAAUGCCUGGAAAGUGUCCCUCAUUAAAGGGUUUCAAGAGAAAGAAGUUAUUCAUGACAGCACGCGCAUCUCAGAUAUCCAUCGUUAUGGGCAGUACAUAAGGGGACUGCUCAAGAAAGCUCCACAAAUGGCCCGCAAGUAAAAAAAGAUGUAAUUUCCUAUUGGCUAUAUUUAUGUAAUGUAAAUAUGUAGUAAAAGAGAUUUAAUGCUUUUUGUUCCUCCUUGUUCCAGUUGUAACAAUAUCCAUGCUUAUACUGAAAUUAAUCACAUUUGACCCAAAAUUGUCAGCAAAAUGUAUCUACCAUAUUUAUUCAGGUUUUAUUCAGUGUUCAUUUUUUCAUUGUGUAAAUGAAUGGAAAUCUCAAAAACUUAAACUGCUGCCUUUAUUUUUAUUUUGGCUAGUUUUGU